rnacentral:rRNA from 1 species
GACGAAGGUGGCGAGCGUUGUUCGGAAUCACUGGGCAUAAAGCGCACGUAGGCGGCGAUGUAAGUCGGGUGUGAAAUCCCUCGGCCCAACCGAGGAACUGCGCCCGAAACUGCAUUGCUUGAGGAUCAAAGGGGUGCUCGGAAUUUCCGGUGGAGCGGUGAAAUGCGUUGAUAUCGGAAGGAACGUCGGCGGCGAAAGCGGAGCACUGGUUGAUUACUGACGCUGAGGUGCGAAAGCCAGGGGAGCAAACGGG